rnacentral:rRNA from 1 species
GGGUUGUGAGGUUAAGCGACUAAGCGUACACGGUGGAUGCCCUGGCAGUCAGAGGCGAUGAAGGACGUGCUAAUCUGCGAAAAGCGUCGGUAAGGUGAUAUGAACCGUUAUAACCGGCGAUGUCCGAAUGGGGAAACCCAGUGUGAUUCGUCACACUAUCGUUAACUGAAUACAUAGGUUAACGAGGCGAACCGGGGGAACUGAAACAUCUAAGUACCCCGAGGAAAAGAAAUCAACCGAGAUUCCCCCAGUAGCGGCGAGCGAACGGGGAGCAGCCCAGAGUCUGAAUCAGCUUGUGUGUUAGUGGAACGGUCUGGAAAGUCCGACGGUACAGGGUGAUAGUCCCGUACACCAAAAUGCACAGGUUGUGAACUCGAAGAGUAGGGCGGGACACGUGGUAUCCUGUCUGAAUAUGGGGGGACCAUCCUCCAAGGCUAAAUACUCCUGACUGACCGAUAGUGAACCAGUACCGUGAGGGAAAGGCGAAAAGAACCCCGGCGAGGGGAGUGAAAAAGAACCUGAAACCGUGUACGUACAAGCAGUGGGAGCACCUUCGGGUGUGACUGCGUACCUUUUGUAUAAUGGGUCAGCGACUUAUAUUCUGUAGCAAGGUUAACCGUAUAGGGGAGCCGCAGGGAAACCGAGUCUUAACUGGGCGUUAAGUUGCAGGGUAUAGACCCGAAACCCGGUGAUCUAGCCAUGGGCAGGUUGAAGGUUGGGUAACACUAACUGGAGGACCGAACCGACUAAUGUUGAAAAAUUAGCGGAUGACUUGUGGCUGGGGGUGAAAGGCCAAUCAAACCGGGAGAUAGCUGGUUCUCCCCGAAAGCUAUUUAGGUAGCGCCUCGUGAAUUCAUCUUCGGGGGUAGAGCACUGUUUCGGCUAGGGGGUCAUCCCGACUUACCAACCCGAUGCAAACUACGAAUACCGAAGAAUGUUAUCACGGGAGACACACGGCGGGUGCUAACGUCCGUCGUGAAGAGGGAAACAACCCAGACCGCCAGCUAAGGUCCCAAAGUCAUGGUUAAGUGGGAAACGAUGUGGGAAGGCACAGACAGCCAGGAUGUUGGCUUAGAAGCAGCCAUCAUUUAAAGAAAGCGUAAUAGCUCACUGGUCGAGUCGGCCUGCGCGGAAGAUGUAACGGGGCUAAACCAUGCACCGAAGCUGCGGCAGCGACACUAUGUGUUGUUGGGUAGGGGAGCGUUCUGUAAGCCUGCGAAGGUGUGCUGUGAGGCAUGCUGGAGGUAUCAGAAGUGCGAAUGCUGACAUAAGUAACGAUAAAGCGGGUGAAAAGCCCGCUCGCCGGAAGACCAAGGGUUCCUGUCCAACGUUAAUCGGGGCAGGGUGAGUCGACCCCUAAGGCGAGGCCGAAAGGCGUAGUCGAUGGGAAACAGGUUAAUAUUCCUGUACUUGGUGUUACUGCGAAGGGGGGACGGAGAAGGCUAUGUUAGCCGGGCGACGGUUGUCCCGGUUUAAGCAUGUAGGCUGGUUAUCCAGGCAAAUCCGGAUAAUCAAGGCUGAGGUGUGAUGACGAGGCACUACGGUGCUGAAGUAACAAAUGCCCUGCUUCCAGGAAAAGCCUCUAAGCAUCAGGUAACAUCAAAUCGUACCCCAAACCGACACAGGUGGUCAGGUAGAGAAUACCAAGGCGCUUGAGAGAACUCGGGUGAAGGAACUAGGCAAAAUGGUGCCGUAACUUCGGGAGAAGGCACGCUGGUGUGUAGGUGAAGCCCCUGCGGGUGGAGCUGAGACCAGUCGAAGAUACCAGCUGGCUGCAACUGUUUAUUAAAAACACAGCACUGUGCAAACACGAAAGUGGACGUAUACGGUGUGACGCCUGCCCGGUGCCGGAAGGUUAAUUGAUGGGGUUAUCCGUAAGGAGAAGCUCUUGAUCGAAGCCCCGGUAAACGGCGGCCGUAACUAUAACGGUCCUAAGGUAGCGAAAUUCCUUGUCGGGUAAGUUCCGACCUGCACGAAUGGCGUAAUGAUGGCCAGGCUGUCUCCACCCGAGACUCAGUGAAAUUGAACUCGCUGUGAAGAUGCAGUGUACCCGCGGCAAGACGGAAAGACCCCGUGAACCUUUACUAUAGCUUGACACUGAACAUUGAGCCUUGAUGUGUAGGAUAGGUGGGAGGCUUUGAAGCGUGGACGCCAGUCUGCGUGGAGCCAACCUUGAAAUACCACCCUUUAAUGUUUGAUGUUCUAACGUUGGCCCCUGACCGGGGUUGCGGACAGUGUCUGGUGGGUAGUUUGACUGGGGCGGUCUCCUCCCAAAGCGUAACGGAGGAGCACGAAGGUUAGCUAAUCCUGGUCGGACAUCAGGAGGUUAGUGCAAUGGCAUAAGCUAGCUUGACUGCGAGCGUGACGGCGCGAGCAGGUGCGAAAGCAGGUCAUAGUGAUCCGGUGGUUCUGAAUGGAAGGGCCAUCGCUCAACGGAUAAAAGGUACUCCGGGGAUAACAGGCUGAUACCGCCCAAGAGUUCAUAUCGACGGCGGUGUUUGGCACCUCGAUGUCGGCUCAUCACAUCCUGGGGCUGAAGUAGGUCCCAAGGGUAUGGCUGUUCGCCAUUUAAAGUGGUACGCGAGCUGGGUUUAGAACGUCGUGAGACAGUUCGGUCCCUAUCUGCCGUGGGCGCUGGAGAAUUGAGGGGGGCUGCUCCUAGUACGAGAGGACCGGAGUGGACGCAUCACUGGUGUUCGGGUUGUCAUGCCAAUGGCACUGCCCGGUAGCUAAAUGCGGAAGAGAUAAGUGCUGAAAGCAUCUAAGCACGAAACUUGCCCCGAGAUGAGUUCUCCCUGAGACUUUAAGUCUCCUGAAGGAACGUUGAAGACGACGACGUUGAUAGGCCGGGUGUGUAAGCGCAGCGAUGCGUUGAGCUAACCGGUACUAAUGAACCGUGAGGCUUAACCUUACAACGCCGAAG